rnacentral:rRNA from 1 species
CGAGAAGGCAGCUACACGGCGACGUGAUGCUAAUCCCGAAGCCUCUCUCAGUUCGGAUUGGAGUCUGCAACCCGACUCCAUGAAGCUGGAUUCGCUAGCAAUCGCGCAUCAGCCACGGCGCGGUGAAUACGUUCCCGGGCCUUGUACACACCGCCCGUCAAGCCAUGAAAGCCGGGGGUACCUGAAGUGCGUAACCGCAAGGAGCGCCCUAGGGUAAAACUGGUGACUGGGGCUAAGUCGUAACAAGGUAAC